GCAGAAGAGGAGAGUCACAUCAACUGAGUGAUGAGCGCAGAAAUAUGUAACAGUGCCCUCUGUAGAUAGAACCCAGUCAUAAGAGUUACUUCCUUUGGGUGUUGGACCCUGCAAUAAGGAAAUAUUUAAAUUUAUGAAAAAAAGUGACAUGGUGUGUUGCUUGGAUUGAAUAAAUCUUUACGGAGCUAAGUGACUGACUGGAUUUACCUAACCUGUAGGUAAAGAUAAUGGAAAUCACCUCUGAUGAAUUUUAUUUUAUAGGCUUCUUACUGUAUAUAUAUACAUUAGACAUAAAAUAGGUGGCUAAACAUAUACUCACAAAAUAAGUCACAUGGGUUUGUCUACGUAAUAUUCAUCUGUGUAUAUAGGUCUCCAAAGAAAGCCUCAGAAAAAAGUAGGUCAAAGGUCAUCUCCGUAUUCUCCUGAAGCCAAGGUAAAUUCAGUAAGCCACUUCGCAGAACCCAGGUGGAUCCAAUCAGCCAAUUAUCUAAAUAACGACUGUGGAUUUAUCAAGGCAGGA
rnacentral:lncRNA from 1 species